UCCGGUUUGGCACCGGCAGUCUGGCGUGAGUCCCCAACUUAAUGCUGGCAACACGCCACGGGGGUUGCGCUCGUUGCGGGACUUAACCCAACACCUCACGACACGAGCUGACGACAGCCAUGCACCACCUGCACACCAGCCACAAGGGAACGCCUAUCUCUGGACGCGUCUAGUGCAUGUCAAACCCAGGUAAGGUUCUUCGCGUUGCAUCGAAUUAAACCACAUGCUCCACCGCUUGUGCAGGCCCCCGUCAAUUUCUUUGAGUUUUAACCUUGCGGCCGUACUCCCCAGGCGGAUAACUUAAUGCGUUAGCUGCGCCACCAAAAGCCUAAGGCCCCUGACAGCUAGUUAUCAUCGUUUACGGCGUGGACUAC
rnacentral:misc_RNA from 1 species